rnacentral:lncRNA from 1 species
AUUUUCUCAUGCUUUGUCCUUUCCAAGCCUUAAACGUCAUUGUGUAUUCGUGCAGCAGAAACACACCAGAUAGAAAAAGCUGGGAGCAAAACGACCUAACAAGGGGCAGAAACAUCAAGGGGCAUGACAAUGCCACAAGACCUGAGACAGAAUUUCCAGAGUGACUUUACAUUCUGAAGAUCCACCCAGGCUCAGGGGACUCCUCAGCUCUACUUAUGGUUUUUGUACUGAAAAGCCAAAAGUGUUCCUAGACCAUUUUUCUUUGUGAUUUGACAUCACCUCCUUCGAGACAAUGAGGAUACCCUGGCAGAUAUCUGCUAGAGUUGAGAGCAAGAGGAAAACACAGAUGCAGAGGGAAGAAGCAUGCAUGGGUUAAUAUGUCAAAAAUACCACAUUUCCAUGCACAGCUGUGUCAGGCUUUCCCAGGGAGGAAACAUGGCCAGCUGGGACACUGUAUCAUUGCCUCACUAGGAGUCCAUAUUUCCAAGCCAUGGGAAUAUUCUAUCAGAGAGACGUGAGAGAGUGAACAGACCACGAGGGAUGCAUAUGCUGCUGUUCCUAGACCACAUGCCAACCCAGCCGAAUGGCAGAGACUUGGAGCAGAGAUGUAGAGAAUGUUGGAAUAUCCCAUAACAUUCAACGCCAUGAAAGGAAGAGACGCCAGGAUGGACUGGGAUGGAAAAAUCCACUGGCCACAGAAGUAAUGGAACCACAGGGCUGGGGGAGAACUUGAGUGCACCUAUCAAAAUGGGGCUCAUUUCAGAGCUGACAAAAGGCUGAGAGAAUCUUG